AGCAGGGUAAUUUACGUAUUUUCUUACACAUAAUAGUAACACUUUCUUACACCAAUUUACGUAGUUAUCAAAUGGUGUAAUAUAAUAGUAGUGGAAAAUAAAUGACUUCAAGUUUAGUUUUUUUCCUAUGAAAACAUUAUUUCUUCUUCAACAUAACCAUUAUACAGUCAUAUAUAAUUCCUAUCAUUUUAAGUUUUUAUAAUAUAUUUUAUUUCUUUGCAUGUUUGUAGAUACACACCGUACACGAAACGUCUCACUUAUAAUUUUGGUGAAAAUUGUACUCAUACGCAUAUUAUUUUCGUUAUUUUAUGCGUUGAUGCUCUGACUUUCAUUCCUUUUUGUUCAUAUCUAAUUUUAUCGGUGUUACGUGAUGAUGGAAUACCAUUAGUUUAACCCACUACGUAUUAUCCGGCAAGAAAGUUAAUCACCUAUCACGACUUCAUGUGUAAAUGUUUAUUUUUAAACUUUGAAAUUUAAAUCUAUAGUGCAGGUUGGAUUUAUAAUAUGAUUAAUGUGAGCAGGACAAGCUUCUGAUGAGACAAUUUAUUUCCGAUUACUAAGUACCUCAAUUUGUUUGAGAGCUACUAGAAUGGCAGAGUCAUUGUUGAGGACACCACCGUAAAUCCGCGUCUCCGAAUGAUUUGAAGAAAGCAUACAAGAAAGUUGCUAUCAAGAAUCAUCCCUACAUGGGCGGUACGGUGACCCCGAGAAGAUAUUUGAUCAAAUAAAUUUAAUCGUCAAAAUUUGUAAGUUCUUUUGUUUCUGCUUGAUGGAUUGUUUGGGCCCAUGCAUUAUAUUGUUUUCUUUCUGAUUUGGUUUGUGAAUUUUAUUUUUUAUUUGGUGAUUUGAGUUUGUUAUGUGAUGUUAUGUUGUGACCCUAGGUUCCCCUUAUAGUGCUGAAAUGUGGCCCAAUUUUGAUAUAUUAAGAAGAGAACCAAUUUAGUCAUGCAAAAUCAAUGAAUGAUUGGAUGCAAAGAGCUCAAUUGGAUGAAUAUGUUAUUAUUAUUACAACAUCAAUUAUAUGUGGGCAAAGUUGAUAUCUUUCUCAUAAAAUUUAUUAUUAAUCUUGCUAAGAUUUGCAUGCUCUAAGUCACUGAUAAUGCUGUUGUCAAUGUAUAAAAUGAUCUGCUGUAGCAAUGGUGGAGGCGAACGAAAAGCUUAAUGCUUAAUGUCCGUAAAUUUUAUUUUUCUUUUUUAAAUUCAACAGUUUCUUACUUCAGCGGAUGUUGAAUUGGAGGUCGUAUUGAAAUUCUCAAGGAAAAAAAGGUUAUCGCGUGGAGGAUUUCUUCUUGGAGAAGUUCUCCUUCGCUGCUUAGAAUUCCAUCGACUCGGCGGCUGCUGCUAAGAGCUAUAAGGGGGUUCAUGCGACGAUAAGUUUGUGAUUUUGGGUGAUUUGUUUUAUUCAUUUUGCAUUUUUCAUUCCUCUGUAAUAAAAGAAUCACUAGGACUUUUUUUUUUUUUUUUGUGUAGUCUCCAUCAAUGAAUACAUAUUUUACAAAUAAGCCAGAUAUAAUUAUUUUACAAAUUAGAUGAUUUUGUUAGAUUUAUUCAGUGAAACAUUAAAGUUUGUUUGAAUAGGAGAUAGAAUGAUUAAGUUUUAUAUUAUUUUGUAAAAAAUAACAGUAUCUUUUGUCUACAAUUACGAGUUUUAUCCUGGUUUUCUUUCCGCUUUGGAGAAACGAAUUGUUGUUUUGUUCUGAAUAUUGAACUUUAUUUCGCUGC